rnacentral:rRNA from 1 species
AGGACGAACGCUGGCGGCGUGCUUAACACAUGCAAGUCGAGCGGAAAGGCCCUUCGGGGUACUCGAGCGGCGAACGGGUGAGUAACACGUGAGCAACCUGCCCUUAGCUUCGGGAUAGCUCCGGGAAACCGGAAUUAAUACCGAAUAUGACUUUGGCUGACAUCAGCAGAAGUGGAAAGUUUUUCGGCUAGGGAUGGACUCGCGGCCUAUCAGCUAGUUGGUGAGGUAACGGCCCACCAAGGCGACGACGGGUAGCCGGCCUGAGAGGGCGACCGGCCACACCUGGGACUGAGACACGGCCCAGACUCCUACGGGAGGCAGCAGUGGGGAAUAUUGCGCAAUGGGCGAAAGCCUGACGCAGCGACGCCGCGUGGGGGAUGAAUGCCUUCGGGUUGUAAACCCCUUUCAGCAGGGACGAAGCGAAAGUGACGGUACCUGCAGAAGAAGCGCCGGCUAACUACGCGCCAGCAGCCGC